AACGCACAUUGCGCCCUUUGGCAUUCCGAAGGGCAUGCCUGUUCGAGCGUCAUUAUCAACCCUCAAGCCUAGCUUGAUGUUGGGCUUUGGUGGUUACACAUCAGCCCUAAAGGCAAUGACGGCGCUCUGAGACCCCCGGUACAACGAGCUUUUCACAAGGCACGUACUGUGGUGGGCUUGGGGACCCGGUCUACCAUUUAUUUUCUAAGGUUGACCUCGGAUCAGGUAGGGAUACCCGCUGAACUUAA
rnacentral:misc_RNA from 1 species